CGCCAGACUCCUACGGGAGGCAGCAGUGGGGAAUAUUGCACAAUGGGGGAAACCCUGAUGCAGCGACGCCGCGUGAGUGAAGAAGUAUUUCGGUAUGUAAAGCUCUAUCAGCAGGGAAGAAAAUGACGGUACCUGACUAAGAAGCCCCGGCUAACUACGUGCCAGCAGCCGCGGUAAUACGUAGGGGGCAAGCGUUAUCCGGAUUUACUGGGUGUAAAGGGAGCGUAGACGGCAUGGCAAGUCAGAUGUGAAAGCCCGGGGCUCAACCCCGGGACUGCAUUUGAAACUGUCAGGCUGGAGUGCAGGAGAGGUAAGUGGAAUUCCUAGUGUAGCGGUGAAAUGCGUAGAUAUUAGGAGGAACACCAGUGGCGAAGGCGGCUUACUGGACUGUAACUGACGUUGAGGCUCGAAAGCGUGGGGAGCAAACAGGAUUAGAUACCCGCGUAGU
rnacentral:rRNA from 1 species